GGUAACAGGAAGCAGCUUGCUGCUUUGCUGACGAGUGGCGGACGGGUGAGUAAUGUCUGGGAAACUGCCUGAUGGAGGGGGAUAACUACUGGAAACGGUAGCUAAUACCGCAUAACGUCGCAAGACCAAAGAGGGGGACCUUCGGGCCUCUUGCCAUCGGAUGUGCCCAGAUGGGAUUAGCUAGUAGGUGGGGUAACGGCUCACCUAGGCGACGAUCCCUAGCUGGUCUGAGAGGAUGACCAGCCACACUGGAACUGAGACACGGUCCAGACUCCUACGGGAGGCAGCAGUGGGGAAUAUUGCACAAUGGGCGCAAGCCUGAUGCAGCCAUGCCGCGUGUAUGAAGAAGGCCUUCGGGUUGUAAAGUACUUUCAGCGGGGAGGAAGGCGAUGAGGUUAAUAACCUUG
rnacentral:rRNA from 1 species